rnacentral:lncRNA from 1 species
ACAGUGGCAAAAUACAGCCGUGAUUAUAGUUUUCAUAAGGAAAUGAUAAUGGCCCAAAAAUGGAUCAGUGAUUCACAAUGGUAGCUGGGGAUCCCCUUUGCCCUCAGUGGAUAUAUGUUAUACUAGUUUCGCACAAAGGUCGAUAAAAGACUUAACAAAACAUACAUAUGGUUAAGGAUAUUAUUUGAAACUCUAUGAUAAUUUGUAUGAUGAUUCUUCUGUUUAUUGAGUAUGCUACUUGUACUAAUUGCAUCUUCGUGAUGAUUCAUAUGAUAGUUAUUUUUGUUUGCUGUGUAUGCUGCCUGUACUAAUUGUACCUCUGUGAUAAUUCGUAUGAUGGUU